rnacentral:rRNA from 1 species
UACAGAGUUCUCAAGCGUUGUUCGGAUUCAUUGGGCGUAAAGGGUGCGUAGGCGGCGCGGUAAGUCGGGUGUGAAAUCUCGGAGCUUAACUCCGAAACUGCAUUCGAUACUGCCGUGCUUGAGGACUGGAGAGGAGACUGGAAUUUACGGUGUAGCGGUGAAAUGCGUAGAUAUCGUAAGGAAGACCAGUGGCGAAGGCGGGUCUCUGGACAGUUCCUGACACUGAGACACGAAGGCCAGGGGAGCAAACGGG